rnacentral:rRNA from 1 species
GACGAACGUUGGCGGCGCGCUUAAUGCAUGCAAGUCGAGGGAGAAGCGUUGGUUCCGUAAGGUCCCGACGUGGAAACCGGCGAACGGGUGCGUAACACGUGAGAAACCUGCCCCCCAGACCGGGAUAGCCCAGGGAAACUUGGAUUAAUACCGGAUACUCUCUCGGGACCGCAUGGUCCCUUGAGGAAAGGUCCGCUGCUGGGGGAUGGUCUCGCGGCCUAUCAGGUAGUUGGUGAGGUAACGGCUCACCAAGCCGAAGACGGGUAGCUGGUCUGAGAGGACGAUCAGCCACACUGGAACUGAGACACGGUCCAGACUCCUACGGGAGGCAGCAGCAGGGAAUAUUGCACAAUGGGCGAAAGCCUGAUGCAGCGACGCCGCGUGCGGGAUGAAGGCCUUCGGGUUGUAAACCGCUUUCAGGAGGGACGAAACUGACGGUACCUGCAGAAGAAGGUCCGGCCAACUACGUG